rnacentral:lncRNA from 1 species
AGGGGCUGGCUGGAUUGCUGUUGGUUUUUCCCCUCCUGGUGGCUUUGCUUGGUUUGGGUUUAGUUUGGGAACAAACUUGUUUUAUAUCAACACUUCCUUCUACAUCGGGCGCCGUCGCCUCAACUGCGCGUGGGGGGCGAGGCGCCCACCCCGCACAAGAACAGAGGAGCGGGGGAGAAGAGACGGCCUCGCUGCUCACUGGGCCCCUUUGUGUGACUAAAUUUGGCAAGAAUAUGGAUCUGAGCCAGUCUUUCCACGUGUGCUCCCAGCUCCCAGCUGAGAAGGCCAAGGGUUCUCUUCCGGGUAAGGAGACAGGGAGAAAGAUCAAAGAGUUUGGGGAGCUGGAUCUGAAAUGUGAAUUGAAAAUAAAAAUCAAGCCUGGACACAUUCCAGUUUCUAAAGCAAAACCAACCCUCAGCAGAGGCCGGCUCUCUAUAUAGCUCUCUUUCUUUCUCUCUCUGCUCCCUUUGACUCUUUUCUGUGACCAUUCUUGAGCACAUGGUAUAAAAUAAAGAGAACAUAGGGAAACAGUUUCUCUAUAUUUCGUUUUGG